rnacentral:rRNA from 1 species
GACGAACGCUGGCGGCGUGCUUAACACAUGCAAGUCGAAUGGAAAGGCCCUGCUUUUGUGGGGUGCUCGAGUGGCGAACGGGUGAGUAACACGUGAGUAACCUGCCCUUGACUUUGGGAUAACUUCAGGAAACUGGGGCUAAUACCGGAUAGGAGCUCCUGCUGCAUGGUGGGGGUUGGAAAGUUUCGGCGGUUGGGGAUGGACUCGCGGCUUAUCAGCUUGUUGGUGGGGUAGUGGCUUACCAAGGCUUUGACGGGUAGCCGGCCUGAGAGGGUGACCGGCCACAUUGGGACUGAGAUACGGCCCAGACUCCUACGGGAGGCAGCAGUGGGGAAUAGUGCACAAUGGGCGGAAGCCUGAUGCAGCAACGCCGCGUGCGGGAUGACGGCCUUCGGGUUGUAAACCGCUUUCGCCUGUGACGAAGCGUGAGUGACGGUAAUGGGUAAAGAAGCACCGGCUAACUACGUG